rnacentral:rRNA from 1 species
GAUGAACGCUGGCGGCGUGCCUAAUACAUGCAAGUCGAGCGGUAAGGCCUCUUCGGAGGUACACGAGCGGCGGACGGCUGAGUAACACGUAGGAACGUACCCCAAACUGAGGGAUAAGCACCAGAAAUGGUGUCUAAUACCGCAUGUGCUCUAAGGAGUAAAGCUUCGGCGGUUUGGGAACGGCCUGCGCACGAUUAGAUUGUUGGUGAGGUAAUGGCUCACCAAGUCGACGAUCGUUAGCUGGUCUGAGAGGAUGAUCAGCCAGACUGGGACUGAGAACGGCCCAGACUCCUACGGGAGGCAGCAGUAGGGAAUUUUCCACAAUGGACGAAAGUCUGAUGGAGCAACGCCGCGUGCAGGAUGAAUGCCUUAGGGUUGUAAACUGCUUUUAUAUGUGACGAAUAUGACGGUAGCAUAUGAAUAAGGAUCGGCUAACUCCGUG